rnacentral:rRNA from 1 species
AGCAGUAGCCGCGGGAAUACGGAGGGGGCUAGCGUUGUUCGGAAUUACUGGGCGUAAAGCGCACGUAGGCGGCUUGGUAAGUUAGAGGUGAAAGCCCGGAGCUCAACUCCGGAAUUGCCUUUAAGACUGCCGAGCUAGCAGGUGAGAGAGGUAAGUGGAAUUCCGAGUGUAGAGGUGAAAUUCGUAGAUAUUCGGAAGAACACCAGUGGCGAAGGCGGCUUACUGGCUCAUACUGGACGCUGAGGUGCGAAAGCGUGGGGAGCAAACAGGAUUAGAUACCCCGGUAGUCCCUGUCUCUUAUAC